UUAUCACCCGGAACUCCCAGUCCAACAAAUAAAGAUGACAGAUGAGACUCUUCUUAUUUUUGAUGGGGUGCAUGCCGUUUUAUUGGUGGAGUGAUUUUUUGUUAAUGCGAUACGAACGAGACCUCGGCCCUUAAAAGCCCGGUCCGCGUCCGCGGGCCGCUGGCUUCUUAGGGGGACUAUCGGCUCAAGCCGAUGGAAGUGCGCGGCAAUAACAGGUCUGUGAUGCCCUUAGAUGUUCUGGGCCGCACGCGCGCUACACUGACAGGGCCAGCGAGUCAUCACCUUGGCCGAGAGGCCCGGGUAAUCUUGUUAAACCCUGUCGUGUGGGGAUAGAGCAUUGAAAUAUUGCUCUUCAACGAGGAAUGCCUAGUAGGCACGAGUCAUCAGCUCGUGCCGAUUACGUCCCUGCCCUUUUUUCUCUUCCACCCGUACGCUACUACCGUAUUUAAAAAUGGUCCUUUCGCGG
rnacentral:rRNA from 2 species